UUUUAAUUUUACCCUUAAUUUUAUUUUAAAAUUACGGACAGUUUGCUUUUAUUUCUGUUUUAGUCUUUAGUGAGAUUGUGUCAUUCAAAAGAAUUUCAGACCACACAAAUCUUUCAUUCUCGUCUUCGUAUUCCUCCCAAGAGAAGGAAAAUAUCACUCCGAUUGGCUUGAGGAUCGUGCUCACGAACCCAGCUCUCUGCCAAAGCCUCAAGAUCCACUCCCUCUGCAAACAACAGGCAAUGAAGUGCCGAAAUCGAUGGUUUCUAACGAGAGAAAUGAGAAGCAGCUCCACCAAAAUCGAUUCCUCCACUCUCUGUGAUUUUAAUUUCUUUAUUAUCUCCUAAAUUUCCUGCAUAAUCUUUUCUGAUGCUUGGCAGGAACUCGACGAACUGGAGGAAACCAAUUUCAGUAAUCAAAGGGUGGUUCUCGCCCUCUAUGAGACCAUGUACUCCGAUUUUAAUUUCUCUCUAUGGUUUCUAAUGAGAGAACUGAGAAGCAGCUCCACCAAAAUUGAUUCCUCUACUCUGUGAUUUUAAUUUCUUUAUUAUCUCCUAAAUUUCCUGCAUAAUCUUUUCUGAAGCUUGACAGGGACUUGACGAACUGGAGGAAACCGAUUUCAGUAAUCAAAGGGUGGUUCUCGCCCUCUAUGAGACCAUGUACUCGCACGACGUAACCACGAUGCCCCAGAUCGUCGCCGACUGGAAGGGAAUCUCCGUUUCUGUCUUCUGAGCCCAGGCAAAGCAUCCCCUCUCUGCGUAUCAUACGAGUGGGUCACGACGGCUCGCUGAUACCCUCCAUCUCAUCCAUGUUGUUUCCAGCGUGAAAGACCAGCAAAUCUAGCGGCUUCAUGAAGACGACUGGGAACUAAAAAAAAAAAACAUAAAAUAAAAUAAAAGUGAGGAAAGUCAUGGAGAUGACCCCACUCUUCACUAACUGUUUUGUCCUUGUCCACGGAGGUGGCUUUGGUACUUGGUGCUAUAACACAUCCUGUCCGAUGAGAUAAGCACAAGCACACGUUUUGUGAUAAGAAUUUAUUUCAAUUACGUCACUAUCAUAUUUUUUUAUUUUAUUUUGUAGGCCCACGCAUGCAAGUUGACAUUGUGGUUGAGAGAGUGGAUGGGUGUUGCUGUAAAGGUAUUUUGGAGGAGAAUUUCCAGUGAAUUGGUAGUUGAGCAUGUGAA